rnacentral:rRNA from 1 species
UACAGAGGUCUCAAGCGUUGUUCGGAUUCAUUGGGCGUAAAGGGUGCGUAGGCGGCGCGGUAAGUCGGGUGUGAAAUCUCGGAGCUUAACUCCGAAACUGCAUUCGAUACUGCCGUGCUUGAGGACUGGAGAGGAGACUGGAAUUUACGGUGUAGCGGUGAAAUGCGUAGAGAUCAGCAGGAACACCCGUGGCGAAGGCGGCCCCCUGGGCCGUACCUGACGCUGAGGCGCGAAGGCUAGGGGAGCGAACGGG